rnacentral:piRNA from 1 species
ACGAUUGCCAUUCCUGGAGCAGGCACUGC